UCGAGAAUUUUUCUCAAUGGGCGAAAGCCUGAAGGAGCGACGCCGCGUGGGGGAUGAAUGGCUUCGGCCCGUAAACCCCUGUCAUUUGCGAACAAACCUCGUGAUUUAACAGAUGACGAGCUGAUUGUAGCGAAAGAGGAAGGGACGGCUAACUCUGUGCCAGCAGCCGCGGUAAUACAGAGGUCCCAAGCGUUGUUCGGAUUCACUGGGCGUAAAGGGCGUGUAGGCGGUAUGUUAAGUCAUGUGUGAAAUCCCUCGGCUCAACCGGGGAACGACGCAUGAAACUGGCAAGCUAGAGUACCAAAGAGGGUGGUGGAAUUCCCGGUGUAGCGGUGAAAUGCGUAGAUAUCGGGAGAACACCUGUGGCGAAGGCGGCCACCUGGUUGGAUACUGACGCUGAGACGCGAAAGCGUGGGGAGCAAACAGGAUUAGAUACCCCCGUAGUCCCUGAGCGGGCUGGCAAGGCGCAU
rnacentral:rRNA from 1 species